GGUAGCUUCUACAAACAGAAAUUUACUGCCAAUGAAAUUAAAUGUGUGGCUACAACAUCAAACAACCAGAAUUUAAGAAUUAUUACAGAACAGAAUAAAGUGAGGGUCUGAAGAAUUAUCCAUAAAGCAUGAUCCUUUCUAGGAGAUUAGAAAGAAUCCUGAUUUCUUGCUUCUUAUCAACAAUGUAGAACUUUCUUCUGGUUCUUUCCUUGUACAAGAGAACGCUGGGCUUUAACUGAACACAUAGCUACCCAACUAAAGCAUCUUUUGCAGCUAGAAAUGGCCAUGUGAUCAAGUUUGGAGGAACUAGAGGGGUUGGCAAGUGAUGAGUGUGACUUUGGACCACCUCCUUGAAGAUGCAGCUGCUUCCCAGGACUUCUUUCCCACUUCCCACAGGCUGGAGAGUGGGCACCCAGGCUUUAGUCACAACCACCAAGAUGACCCUGUGGGGAGGUGACAGGGAGAGAAGAUGGACCUCUUGGAGAGGAGCAGCCACUUCUCCAGCUAUGGACUGCUGACAUAAGUACUAUUUAGAGAGAGGAAAAUAAACUAUCCCGUGUAAGUCAGCCCA
rnacentral:lncRNA from 1 species